GUCCAGACUCCUACGGGAGGCAGCAGUGGGGAAUAUUGGACAAUGGGGGGAACCCUGAUCCAGCGACGCCGCGUGAGUGAAGAAGUAUUUCGGUAUGUAAAGCUCUAUCAGCAGGGAAGAAAGAAAUGACGGUACCUGACUAAGAAGCCCCGGCUAACUACGUGCCAGCAGCCGCGGUAAUACGUAGGGGGCAAGCGUUAUCCGGAUUUACUGGGUGUAAAGGGAGCGUAGACGGCGAUGCAAGUCUGAAGUGAAAGGCGGGGGCGCAACCCCCGGACUGCUUUGGAACUGCGUGGCUGGAGUGCAGGAGGGGCAGGCGGAAUUCCUGGUGUAGCGGUGAAAUGCGUAGAUAUCAGGAGGAACACCGGUGGCGAAGGCGGCCUGCUGGACUGCAACUGACGUUGAGGCCCGAAAGCGUGGGGAGCAAACAGGAUUAGAUACCCGCGUACCC
rnacentral:rRNA from 1 species